AAUUUUGUGUGUGUGUGAUGGAGUCAGGGUUUUGGAACUGUGACCUCUCUUUUUGUGUUUCAGAACUGGUCUCUCCUACUGUGGGUUUUUUUUAAAGAUUGGCACCUGAGCUAACAUCUGUUGCCAAUCUUUUUUUUUUUCCUUCUUCUUCUUCUCCCCAAAGCUCCCCCAGCACAUGGUUGUGUAUUCUAGUUGUGAGUGCCUAUGGUUGUGCUGUGUGGGACGUGCCUCAGCAUGGCUUGAUGAGGGUGCCAUGUCCGCGCACAGGAUCCGAACCAGCGAAACCCUGGGCUGCUGAAGUGGAGCGCGCGAACUUAACUGCUCGGCCACGGGGCUGGCCCCUGUGGCUUUUUCUUUUUACAAAGGUAUUCUUUUACAUUCAGACGUGGAGCACGAACUCUACCAGGCCCUCUGAUAAGGGAAGAAUACACAGGAAAAUGCAGAUUCUGAUGAAUAAGGACUGAGACACAACACAAAUGGGAUCCCACCGGCCCCAAGGCUUUGUUGAAUGGAACCGUGAGUGAGAAUGUAAACUCUCGAGCCCAAGGCUUUCCACGGAAUUCCCUUUGGACUGGUUCAUUCUUUUUGCUCAACAUGAGAAAACAGCAGGAGUUAUUGGUUGGACUGCGUGAUGAGCCAGAUUGUCUGGGGGCAAGGCAGGCUGGGUAGGGGAGAGGAAACAACCCUAUGGACUGUGAUAAAGGAAUGUAUGAAGUUUUAUAAAAACAUAGAUAAAUAAU
rnacentral:lncRNA from 1 species